GACGAACGCUGGCGGCGUGCUUAACACAUGCAAGUCGAGCGGUAAGGCCCUUUCGGGGGUACACGAGCGGCGAACGGGUGAGUAACACGCGGGUGACCUGCCCUUAGCUCUGGGAUAAGCCUGGGAAACUGGGUCUAAUACCGGAUAUGACUCCAUGACGCAUGUUGUGGGGUGGAAAGCCUUGUGCGGCUAGGGAUGGGCCCGCGGCCUAUCAGCUUGUUGGUGGGGUGAUGGCCACCAAGGCGACGACGGGUAGCCGGCCUGAGAGGGCGACCGGCCACACUGGGACUGAGACACGGCCCAGACUCCUACGGGAGGCAGCAGUGGGGAAUCUUGCGCAAUGGGCGAAAGCCUGACGCAGCGACGCCGCGUGAGGGAUGACGGCCUCGG
rnacentral:rRNA from 1 species